GUUUCUCACGGGCCAGUUCUUAGCGAUCUAUCGGACCUUUAGUGAUGUUCGGCUCCGACUGUCUGAUGCUUCACCGUGUUCCGGUAUUUAUCCCAUAUGUGGCCUGCCUCUGUAGUUACUCCCUUCUUUUCUAGCUGGUGGGCCGCCAUGUGUUCGUAUUCCCAGUUCAUUUGGAUUUGGACUAACAGUCUGGUUUUUGUGGG